CGACUGGCCGUGUGCGCGCAGACGCGUAACCGCAGUCACAGGAGGAGGCGCAGCGCCAAAGGAAGUCAUGAGGAAGAUUAAAGAGCUGUUAAGAAGUCACCCUGGCUAUCUACAAUGGUUUAUACAUGUUCACAUACACCCUGCUCCUCCAGGAGCCGGGUUUUACCGCUUUACCUUCGCCUUCAGAGAGGCAUGUCAUGGCGCUAUCUUUUCGGUACGUUCAACAUCUGUCUAUUUUAUUAACCUGUGGAACAUUUGCUCAACAGCAGCCACAUGACAAUGCUGAAUGCUAUGAAAGUGUAGAAGUAACACAAGUAGAGUUAUAGUUAAAAUCAGCCACUAUAAGCUACUGUUUAGUGGUCAUACAAGGAAGACUGUAGGCGCUAAAGUCAUUUUUCUAAUGCGAGAGCCAGUACAUAGUUCUACAGUACACAGUACUAUAAUACAACAUAAAUAGCUGUCAGUGAAUUAACACAAAGUCAUGAACUCUUUCCUGAAUAAAAAGGUUUUGAUGCCGGUCUUACAAGAGUCCGGUGUCCGUGUUGCCCUCACGUGCUCCAGGAGACUGAUCCAUAAGCGCGGCGCUGCAGAGCAAAAGGCCGGUGCCCGUGGUGCGGAGCCUGGUGUUGGGGACCCGGAGGAGCGAGCUGUUUGUGGAUCUAACUUGUAUCCUGAAUGGUAACUUGUAACGUGUGCAGAUGUGCAUAGUACAUCGUUCUUUAGUUAAAAUGUUUUUUUGAAAAUGGAAUCCUGCUAAAAUCCUCAGUUUAAUAAAUGCAUCAGUAAUCUGA